ACUUAAAUAAUUUAAAAAAAAUAUUGAUUUGUGGUGUCAAAAAUAUAAAUUUACUUUAUUUUAAGUU
rnacentral:tRNA from 1 species